GAUGGAUAACAGGUUGAUAUUCCUGUACCACCUAUAAUCGUUUUAAUCGAUGGGGGGACGCAGUAGGAUAGGCGAAGCGUGCGAUUGGAUUGCACGUCUAAGCAGUAAGGCUGAGUAUUAGGCAAAUCCGGUACUCGUUAAGGCUGAGCUGUGAUGGGGAGAAGACAUUGAGUCUUCGAGUCGUUGAUUUCACACUGCCGAGAAAAGCCUCUAGAUAGAAAAUAGGUGCCCGUACCGCAAACCGACACAGGUAGUCAAGAUGAGAAUUCUAAGGUGAGCGAGCGAACUCUCGUUAAGGAACUCGGCAAAAUGACCCCGUAACUUCGGGAGAAGGGGUGCUC
rnacentral:rRNA from 1 species